CCUACGGGGGGCAGCAGUGAGGAAUAUUGGUCAAUGGACGAGAGUCUGAACCAGCCAAGUAGCGUGAAGGAUGACUGCCCUAUGGGUUGUAAACUUCUUUUAUAAGGGAAUAAAAUGUGCCACGUGUGGGAUUUUGUAUGGACCAUAUGAAUAAGGAUGGGCUAACCCCGUGCCAGCAGCCGGGGUAAUACGGAGGGUCCGAGCGUUAUCCGGAUUUAUUGGGUUUAAAGGGGGCGUUGGUGGGUUGUUAAGUCCGUUGUGAAAGUUUUCGGCUCAACCGUAAAAUUGCAGUUGAACCUGGCAGUCUUGAGUACAGUAGAGGUGGGCGGAAUUCGUGGUGUAGCGGUGAAAUGCUUA
rnacentral:rRNA from 1 species